rnacentral:rRNA from 1 species
CCUACGGGUGGCUGCAGGGGGGAAUAUUGGACAAUGGGGGCAACCCUGAUCCAGCCAUGCCGCGUGUGUGAAGAAGGCCCUCGGGUUGUAAAGCACUUUCAGUGAGGAAGAACGCCUGGUGGUUAAUACCCAUCAGGAAAGACAUCACUCACAGAAGAAGCACCGGCUAACUCCGUGCCAGCAGCCGCGGUAAUACGGAGGGUGCGAGCGUUAAUCGGAAUUACUGGGCGUAAAGCGCGCGUAGGUGGCUUGAUAAGCCGGUUGUGAAAGCCCCGGGCUCAACCUGGGAACGGCAUCCGGAACUGUCAAGCUAGAGUGCAGGAGAGGAAGGUAGAAUUCCCGGUGUAGCGGUGAAAUGCGUAGAGAUCGGGAGGAAUACCAGUGGCGAAGGCGGCCUUCUGGACUGACACUGACACUGAGGUGCGAAAGCGUGGGUAGCAAACAGGAUUAGAUACCCUGGUAGUC